GAAGGGUAAACUCGCACCUGUUCUACCCAGAAGAGUGGCUCAAGUUCACAUUCAGAAUUUAUUUGUUGAAAGAGUAUCUCCACUUUAUCACAAUCGAGCACUUCCAAUUCUUUCAGAAGUGGCCAACUUGAACUAAACCUUCUAGAGCAAAAUCUUUUGAGUUGGUGUAAACCAGAGAGAGUGAGAGAGGUAAGGUUAGGGAAUAAGAGUAAAGGUGCUGCUUCAUCUUUAUUUUCAUUGGCAACAAUUGCCUCCACUCCACUCUCCGAUAUAUAUAGGUAAUCAAGUUGCACAAGAGCACUCGCCACAGAAACCGGAAAAAGGUUUAGCAAUUUGUUGCAUCCCCUUACUUGCAAUUUCCUUAAUUUGGAAAAUGAAUUUGCUGGAAGUUGGUCAGGCCACAAUGCUCUUAUAUUAUCUAGUCCACGUACAGACAAGGACUCCAAGCCUGGGAGUGCAACCUGUGCAAUUGAUGAUCCCUUUAGUUAAUAAUAUAUACAUAUACAUUCCUAAUAAUUAGACACAUGUAAAUAGAAAAUAAGAGGUUAAAGGAGAAUAUAUCAGUAUAACAAAGCACAAAAUUUAAACUAGAUUCAAGAAGAUCAAGAAAGAGAAAAGAAAAGAAAAAGCCUCCAGAUUUUGAAGAUACAAUGAAACUUAAAAAAAAAAAAAAAAAACCUCCAAAUUUUCCUUUCGAAAUGAGGUAAUAAGAGGAUUUUUCUUUGCCUCUCUUUCAAAUUUGAUUAACUUCUAUGGAAAACGUAUUUUAACUAGUUAUGGAAAACAUAUUUUUUUUUUUAAACUUUUAUAUAAGAUACAAGUAAUACUUUAAAAAAAUUGUGACAUCUAAAAAAUUUUUUGAAAAAUUAUUUUUAAAGAAAUAAGGUAAAUCUAUACUUUUUGUAUAAGAUGUUCUACCUUUAUAUACAAAUUUCUGAUUUUUUUUUUUUAAAGUGUAUCCAAAUGGACACUAAACUAUCUAGUUUUUAAUUGUUACAACUUUGAAUUGCAUUUUAUGGUAAACUAAUUUACAAGUUAAUGCAUGGAUUCAUCUUAGAUUCCAUCUAUAAAUUUUUUUAAUUAUCUAAUAUAAGACAUUAUAUUAAUGGGUUGAAUUAAUAAUGUAAUUAUAAUUUAUUUGGCAACUUUCUUCCUUCAAAUAUAUAAAAUGAAAAUAAAUUUUAAAAAAUAAAAAAAAAAUGAAAAACAUAAAAAAUAAAAAAAGAUUUUUUUUUAUAGUUUUUCUAAGAUGAUUUUGUAGAGUACUGUUAGUUUAUAGUUUUAACUUUAUUUCAUUUUACUUUUAACUUUAUUUAUUGAGGUAUGUUCUUUUUUGAAACUCUUGUUUAGAUUUUAUAGAGAAUAUAAAUUUUAAGAAAAAAAAUGAAAUUUAAAUAAAAUAAGAAUAAAGAAAGGCAAAAGGUGGAUGAAUUUUUUUAAGGCAAAAGUUUGAUAACUUGGCACUAUCAUGUAAUGGGUGAAAUUUUUAAAUACUCAACAAAGGCUAGUGAAAUUUAAAUUAAAAGCUUGAUAUGUACUUUUUCGACCAAAAUCUUUGGAGUUGGUGUAAAGUUUUGAGUAUGAGAGAGGUUAGUCUAGGGAAUACUAUUGCACAUUAGUUCAAAUAAAACAUCAACAUUUUUUUUUGUUAAAUUCUAAAUGAACACCACUAUAAAUUAAUGCGAUUUUGUAUGCUCAAUUAAAUAAACUCGUUCUUAAGGCAUCACAUGAAGUGUUUAAGUCUAAUGAAUAUUAAUUAAAAAUGAUUAUAUUAAAAAAAUCCAAAGUAAUUUAUUUUUAUCAUAAGUCAAGUAGGAUAGUUUUAUAAAUAAACUGUUCUAGUUUCUAGUAUAAUUGUACACAAUCGCUAUGUUUGUUGCACCUCCAAAAAAUCUACUACUUGUAAUUAAUUGUAUAUUAUUCUCCAUAUUCACAUCAGUUUAUGUAGUAUGAUUAAUUUAGCAACAAAAUAUAAGUUUACUUGAAAUCGCUUUAAAUUCCUAUGAUAUUAAAGUUUAAGAUUAAAACAAUGUAACAUUAGCCAAAAAGACUAAGAUCUAUAAUGUAACAUAUAAAAUUUAGAAAAUUCAAGGAAGGGUAAACUCGCACCUGUUCUACCCAGAAGAGUGGCUCAAGUUCACAUUCAGAAUUUAUUUGUUGAAAGAGUAUCUCCACUUUAUCACAAUCGAGCACUUCCAAUUCUUUCAGAAGUGGCCAGCUUGAACUAAACCUUCUAGAGCAAAAUCUUUUCAGUUGGUGUAAACCGGAGAGUGUGAGAGAGGUAAGGUUAGGGAAUAAGAGUAAAGGUGCUGCUUCAUCUUCAUUUUCAUUGGCAACAAUUGCCUCCACUCCACUCUCCGAUAUAUAUAGGUCCUCAAGAUGCACAAGAGCACUCGCCACAGAAACCGGAAAAAGGUUUAGCAGUUUGUUGCAUCCCCUUACUUGCAAUUUCCUUAAUUUGGAAAAUGAAUUUGCUGGAAGUUGGUCAGGCCACAAUGCUCUUAUAUUAUCUAGUCCGCGUACAGACAAGGACUCCAACCCUGGGAGUGCAACCUCUGCAAUUGAUGAUCCCUUUAGUUAAUAAUAUAUACAUAUACAUUCCUAAUAAUUAGACACAUGUAAAUAGAAAAUAAGAGGUUAAAGGAGAAUAUAUCAGUAUAACAAAGCACAAAAUUUAAACUAGAUUCAAGAAGAUCAAGAAAGAGAAAAGAAAAGAAAAAGCCUCCAGAUUUUGAAGAUACAAUGAAACUUAAAAAAAAAAAAAAAAACCUUCAAAUUUUCCUUUCGAAAUGAGCUAAUAAGAGGAUUUUUUUUUUCUUUUUUCUUUGCAUCUCUUUCAAAUUUGAUUAACUUCUAUGGAAAACGUAUUUUAACUAGUUAUGGAAAACGGAUAUUUUUUUUUUAACUUUUAUAUAAGAUACAAGUAAUACUUUAAAAAAAUUGUGAUAUCUAAAUAAUUUUUUGAAAAAUUAUUUUGAAAGAAAUAAGGUAAAUCUAUACUUUUUGUAUAAGAUGUUCAACCUUUAUAUACAAAUUUCUAAUUUUUUUUUUUAAAGUGUAUCCAAAUGGACACUAAACUAUCUAGUUUUUAAUUGUUACAACUUUGAAUUGGAUUUUAUGGUAAACUAAUUUACAAGUUAAUGCAUGGAUUCAUCUUAGAUUCCAUCUAUAAAUUUUUUUAAUUAUCUAAUAUAAGACAUUAUAUUAAUGGGUUGAAUUAAUAAUGUAAUUAUAAUUUAUUUGGCAACUUUCUUCCUUCAAAUAUAUAAAAUGAAAAUAAAUUUUAAAAAAUAAAAAAAAUGAAAAAAAUAAAAAAUAAAAAAAGAUUUUUUUUAUAGUUUUUCUAAGGUGAUUUUGUAGAGUAUUGUUAGUUUAUAGUUUUAACUUUAUUUCAUUUUACUUUUAACUUUAUUUAUUGAGGUAUGUUCUUUUUUGCAACUCUUGUUUAGAUUUUAUAGAGAAUAUAAAUUUUAAGAAAAAAAAUGAAAUUUAAAUAAAAUAAGAAUAAAGAAAGGCAAAAGGUGGAUGAAUUUUCUUAAGGCAAAAGUUUGAUAACUUGGCACUAUCAUGUAAUGGGUGAAAUUUUUAAAUACUCAACAAAGGCUAGUGAAAUUUAAAUUAAAAGCUUGACAUGUACCUUUUCGACCAAAAUCUUUGGAGUUGGUGUAAAGUUUUGAGUAUGAGAGAGGUUAGUAUAGGGAAUAUUAUUGCACAUUAGUUCAAAUAAAACAUCAACAUUUUUUUUUGUUAAAUUCUAAAUGAACACCACUAUAAAUUAAUGCGAUUUUGUAUGCUCAAUUAAAUAAACUCGUUCUUAAGGCAUCACAUGAAGUGUUUAAGUCUAAUUAAUAUUAAUUAAAAAUGAUUAUAUUAAAAAAAAUCCAAAGUAAUUUAUUUUUAUCAUAAGUCAAGUAGGAUAGUUUUAUAAAUAAUUGGUUCUAGUUUCUAGUAUUAUUGUACACAAUCGCUAUGUUUGUUGCACCUCCAAAAAAUCUACUACUUGUAAUUAAUUGUAUAUUAUUCUCCAUAUUCACAUCAGUUUAUGUAGUAUGAUUAAUUUAGCAACAAAAUAUAAGUUUACUUGAAAUCGCUUUAAAUUCCUAUGAUAUUAAAGUUUAAGAUUAAAACAAUGUAACAUUAGCCAAAAAGAUUAAGAUCUAUAAUGUAACAUAUAAAAUUUAGAAAAUUCAAGGAAGGGUAAACUCGCACCUGUUCUACCCAGAAGAGUGGCUCAAGUUCACAUUCAGAAUUUAUUUGUUGAAAGAGUAUCUCCACUUUAUCACAAUCGAGCACUUCCAAUUCUUUCAGAAGUGGCCAGCUUGAACUAAACCUUCUAGAGCAAAAUCUUUUGAGUUGGUGUAAACCGGAGAGUGUGAGAGAGGUAAGGUUAGGGAAUGAGAGUAAAGGUGCUGCUUCAUCUUCAUUUUCAUUGGCAACAAUUGCCUCCACUCCACUCUCCGAUAUAUAAAGGUCCUCAAGUUGCACAAGAGCACUCGCCACAGAAACCGGAAAAAGGUUUAGCAAUUUGUUGCAUCCCCUUCCUUGCAAUUUCCUUAAUUUGGAAAAUGAAUUUGCUGGAAGUUGGUCAGGCCACAAUGCUCUUAUAUUAUCUAGUCCACGUACAGACAAGGACUCCAAGCCUGGGAGUGCAACCUGUGCAAUUGAUGAUCCCUUUAGUUAAUAAUAUAUACAUAUACAUUCCUAAUAAUUAGACACAUGUAAAUAGAAAAUAAGAGGUUAAAGGAGAAUAUAUCAGUAUAACAAAGCACAAAAUUUAAACUAGAUUCAAGAAGAUCAAGAAAGAGAAAAGAAAAGAAAAAGCCUCCAGAUUUUGAAGAUACAAUGAAACUUAAAAAAAAAAAAAAAAAAACUUCCAAAUUUUCCUUUCGAAAUGAGGUAAUAAGAGGAUUUUUUUUUUCUUUUUUCUUUGCCUCUCUUUCAAAUUUGAUUAACUUCUAUGGAAAACGUAUUUUAACUAGUUAUGGAAAACCGAUUUUUUUUUUUUUAACUUUUAUAUAAGAUACAAGUAAUACUUUAAAAAAAUUGUGAUAUCUAAAUAAUUUUUUGAAAAAUUAUUUUUAAAGAAAUAAGGUAAAUCUAUACUUUUUGUACAAGAUGUUCUACCUUUAUAUACAAAUUUCUGAUUUUUUUUUUAAAAGUGUAUCCAAAUGGACACUAAACUAUCUAGUUUUUAAUUGUUACAACUUUGAAUUGGAUUUUAUGGUAAACUAAUUUACAAGUUAAUGCAUGGAUUCAUCUUAGAUUCCAUCUAUAAAUUUUUUUAAUUAUCUAAUAUAAGACAUUAUAUUAAUGAGUUGAAUUAAUAAUGUAAUUAUAAUUUAUUUGGCAACUUUCUUCCUUCAAAUAUAUAAAAUGAAAAUAAAGUUUAAAAAAUAAAAAAAAUGAAAAAAAUAAAAAAUAAAAAAUGAUUUUUUUUAUAGUUUUUCUAAGAUGAUUUUGUAGAGUACUGUUAGUUUAUAGUUUUAACUUUAUUUCAUUUUACUUUUAACUUUAUUUAUUGAGGUAUGUUCUUUUUUGAAACUCUUGUUUAGAUUUUAUAGAGAAUAUAAAUUUUAAGAAAAAAAAUGAAAUUUAAAUAAAAUAAGAAUAAAGAAAGGCAAAAGGUGGAUGAAUUUUUUUAAGGCAAAAGUUUGAUAACUUGGCACUAUCAUGUAAUGGGUGAAAUUUUUAAAUACUCAACAAAGGCUAGUGAAAUUUAAAUUAAAAGCUUGACAUGUACCUUUUCGACCAAAAUCUUUGGAGUUGGUGUAAAGUUUUGAGUAUGAGAGAGGUUAGUCUAGGGAAUAUUAUUGCACAUUAGUUCAAAUAAAACAUCAACAUUUUUUUUUUGUUAAAUUCUAAAUGAACACCGCUAUAAAUUAAUGCGAUUUUGUAUGCUCAAUUAAAUAAACUUGUUCUUAAGGCAUCACAUGAAGUGUUUAAGUCUAAUUAAUAUUAAUUAAAAAUGAUUAUAUUAAAAAAAAUCCAAAGUAAUUUAUUUUUAUCAUAAGUCAAGUAGGAUAGUUUUAUAAAUAAUUGGUUCUAGUUUCUAGUACUAUUGUACACAAUCGCUAUGUUUGUUGCACCUCCAAAAAAUCUACUACUUGUAAUUAAUUGUAUAUUAUUCUCCAUAUUCACAUCAGUUUAUGUAGUAUGAUUAAUUUAGCAACAAAAUAUAAGUUUACUUGAAAUCGCUUUAAAUUCCUAUGAUAUUAAAGUUUAAGAUUAAAACAAUGUAACAUUAGCCAAAAAGAUUAAGAUCUAUAAUGUAACAUAUAAUAUUUAGAAAAUUCAAGGAAGGGUAAACUCGCACCUGUUCUACCCAGAAGAGUGGCUCAAGUUCACAUUCAUAAUUUAUUUGUUGAAAGAGUAUCUCCACUUUAUCACAAUCGAGCACUUCCAAUUCUUUCAGAAGUGGCCAGCUUGAACUAAACCUUCUAGAGAAAAAUCUUUUGAGUUGGUGUAAACCGGAGAGUGUAAGAGAGGUAAGGUUAGGGAAUAAGAGUAAAAGUGCUGCUUCAUCUUCAUUUUCAUUGGCAACAAUUGCCUCCACUCCACUUUCCGAUAUAUAUAGGUCCUCAAGUUGCACAAGAGCACUCGCCACAGAAACCGGAAAAAGGUUUAGCAAUUUGUUGCAUCCCCUUACUUGCAAUUUCCUUAAUUUGGAAAAUGAAUUUGCUGGAAGUUGGUCAGACCACAAUGCUCUUAUAUUAUCUAGUCCGCGUACAGACAAGGACUCCAAACCUGGGAGUGCAACCUGUGCAAUUGAUGAUCCCUUUAGUUAAUAAUAUAUACAUAUACAUUCCUAAUAAUUAGACACAUGUAAAUAGAAAAUAAGAGGUUAAAGGAGAAUAUAUCAGUAUAACAAAGCACAAAAUUUAAACUAGAUUCAAGAAGAUCAAGAAAGAGAAAAGAAAAGAAAAAGCCUCCAGAUUUUGAAGAUACAAUGAAACUUAAC
rnacentral:lncRNA from 1 species